CAAUAGCGUAUAUUUAAGUUGUUGCAGUUAAAAAGCUCGUAGUUGGAUUUCGGUUGAGAACGGCCGGUCCGCCGUUUGGUGUGCACUGGCUGGUUUCAACUUCCUGUAGAGGACGCGCUCUGGCUUCACGGCUGGACGCGGAGUCUACGUGGUUACUUUGAAAAAAUUAGAGUGUUCAAAGCGGGCUUACGCUUGAAUAUUUCAGCAUGGAAUAACACUAUAGGACUCCUGUCCUAUUUCGUUGGUCUCGGGACGGGAGUAAUGAUUAAGAGGAACAGUUGGGGGCAUUCGUAUUUCAUUGUCAGAGGUGAAAUUCUUGGAUUUAUGAAAGACGAACUUCUGCGAAAGCAUUUGCCAAGGAUGUUUUCAUUA
rnacentral:rRNA from 1 species